rnacentral:rRNA from 1 species
GACGGAAGGUGCAAGCGUUGCUCGGAAUCACUGGGCGUAAAGGGUGCGUAGGCGGCCGUGCAAGUCUGGCGUGAAAGCCCCGGGCUCAGCCCGGGAAGUGCGCUCGAAACUGCGCGGCUCGAGUGCCGGAGGGGAGAGUGGAAUUCCUGGUGUAGCGGUGAAAUGCGUAGAUAUCAGGAGGAAUACCGGUGGCGAAAGCGACUCUCUGGACAGUUCCUGACGCUGAGGCACGAAGGUCAGGGGAGCAAACGGG